UGGGGAAUUGUUCACAAUGGGCGCAAGCCUGAUGACGCAACGCCGCGUGGAGGAUGAAGAUCUUCGGGUCGUAAACUCCUGUCGAGCGGGAAGAACACUUUCCGGGUGAACAAUCCGGAAGGCUGACGGUACCGCUAAAGGAAGCCCCAGCCAACUACGUGCCAGCAGCCGCGGUAAUACGGGGGGGGCAAGCGUUGUUCGGAAUUACUGGGCGUAAAGGGCGCGUAGGCGGCCUGUUAAGUCGAACGUGAAAUCCCCGGGCUCAACCCGGGAACUGCGUCCGAAACUGGCAGGCUUGAAUCCGGGAGAGGGAUGUGGAAUUCCAGGUGUAGCGGUGAAAUGCGUAGAUAUCUGGAGGAACAUCGGUGGCGAAGGCGACAUCCUGGACCGGUAUUGACGCUGAGGCGCGAAAGCCAGGGGAGCAAA
rnacentral:rRNA from 1 species